CAGUCGCCACGGGAAUACGGAGGGAGCUAGCGUUGUUCGGAAUUACUGGGCGUAAGGCGCACGUAGGCGGCUACUCAAGUCGGGGGUGAAAGCCCGGGGCUCAACCCCGGAACUGCCCUCGAAACUAGGUAGCUAGAAUCUUGGAGAGGUCAGUGGAAUUCCGAGUGUAGAGGUGAAAUUCGUAGAUAUUCGGAAGAACACCAAUGGCGAAGGCGACUCACUGGACUGGUAUUGACGCUGAGGUGCGAAAGCGUGGGGAGCAAACAGGAUUAGAUACCCGAGUAGUCCCUGUCUCUUAUAC
rnacentral:rRNA from 1 species